rnacentral:lncRNA from 1 species
GAUGGGAACGGGGGAGAAGAAGGGCACCGCGGCGGGAGGGAAGAAACAGAGCGAGCUACGCUGCAGGAGCGCAGUUACCAGCCGGCUGCGAUCACGUGCCUGGGAGGAGGAGCUGAGACCUCAGGGGAGGGGCGCGCGGUAGCGUCCCGGGUCCCCUAGCAGGGCUCUAGAGACCACGUGAAGUCUCCUCGGAGCUGGUGUAGUGAAGGAUGAAGAGAAGGCAAUGCAUUGGUUUAGACAAGCCUCCCAGCAGGACCAUCCUGGUGCUGCCUUUAACCUUGCAGUAGGAACACUGAAAAACAUGACUGCCUCCAUGGAAGCAGGGGAUGUAGAAAUGCUCCUUAAUGUUGCUGCAAAAUGGGGGAUCCAAGAAGCCCAAGAACUUCUGGAGAAUGUUAUUUGGACUAAAAGCAAGCUCUUGCCAACUGAAAGAACCAGGAGUUCUUAUAAACCAUAAUGUGUGCCUGCAUGCUCUUCCUGGAACAUGGGAUGUUCUGCUCUCACUUGUCCACUGUGGCCUUGCAAUGCUUUGUGGCAUUUUCAAUGGAAGCUCCUUUUACUUAUAGUCUCAUAUGCUGCUGCAGCAUUAAUUUGCUGGUUAAAAUCCUUUAAAUGAACAGUCCCCAACCUUUUUGGCACCAGGGACUUGUUU